rnacentral:rRNA from 2 species
UGGGGAAUUUUGGACAAUGGGCGAAAGCCUGAUCCAGCCAUGCCGCGUGAGUGAAGAAGGCCUUCGGGUUGUAAAGCUCUUUUAGUCGGAAAGAAAGAGUUGCAAUGAAUAAUUGUGAUUUAUGACGGUACCGACAGAAAAAGCACCGGCUAACUACGUGCCAGCAGCCGCGGUAAUACGUAGGGUGCGAGCGUUAAUCGGAAUUACUGGGCGUAAAGGGUGCGCAGGCGGGCUUGCAAGUCAGAUGUGAAAGCCCCGGGCUUAACCUGGGAAUUGCGUUUGAAACUACAAGACUAGAGUGCAGCAGAGGGGAGUGGAAUUCCAUGUGUAGCAGUGAAAUGCGUAGAGAUGUGGAAGAACACCGAUGGCGAAGGCAGCUCCCUGGGUUGACACUGACGCUCAUGCACGAAAGCGUGGGGAGCAAACA